UACGUAGGGAGCAAGCGUUGUCCGGAAUCAUUGGGCGUAAAGCGCGCGUAGGUGGCUUCAUAAGUCCGUUGUGAAAGUCAAAGGCUCAACCUUUGAAAGCCGAUGGAUACUGUGGAGCUAGAGUACGGAAGAGGCGAGUGGAAUUCCUGGUGUAGCGGUGGAAUGCGCAGAUAUCGGGAAGAACACCCGUGGCGAAGGCGGUUCUCUGGGACGGUACUGACGCUGAGACGCGAAAGCGUGGGGAGCGAACAGG
rnacentral:rRNA from 1 species